GCCGGGGUGGCGGAACUGGCAGACGCACAGGACUUAAAAUCCUACGGUGAGUGAUCACCGUACCGGUUCGAUUCCGGUCCUCGGCACCA
rnacentral:tRNA from 3 species